ensembl:rRNA 5S_rRNA 5S ribosomal RNA
GCUUAAGGCCAUACCACCCUGAGAACGCCCGAUCUCGUCUGAUCUCGGAAGCUAAGCAGGGUCGGGCCUGGUUAGUACUUGGAUGGGAGACCGCCUGGGAAUACCAGGUGCUGUAAGCU